AAUUUUGCGCAAUGGACGAAAGUCUGACGCAGCAACGCCGCGUGAGGGAUGACGGCCUUCGGGUUGUAAACCUCUUUUCUCAGGGAAGAUGAUGACGGUACCUGAGGAAUAAGCCACGGCUAACUACGUGCCAGCAGCCGCGGUAAUACGUAGGUGGCAAGCGUUGUCCGGAUUUACUGGGCGUAAAGCGCACGUAGGCGGCUUUGCAAGUUAGAGGUGAAAGCCCGGGGCUCAACCCCGGAAUUGCCUUUAAAACUGCAUCGCUAGAAUUGUGGAGAGGUAAGUGGAAUUCCGAGUGUAGAGGUGAAAUUCGUAGAUAUUCGGAAGAACACCAGUGGCGAAGGCGACUUACUGGACACAUAUUGACGCUGAGGUGCGAAAGCGUGGGGAGCAAAC
rnacentral:rRNA from 1 species